CAGUGUGAUUCGUCACACUAUCAUUAACUGAAUCCAUAGGUUAAUGAGGCGAACCGGGGGAACUGAAACAUCUAAGUACCCCGAGGAAAAGAAAUCAACCGAGAUUCCCCCAGUAGCGGCGAGCGAACGGGGAGGAGCCCAGAGCCUGAAUCAGUGUGUGUGUUAGUGGAAGCGUCUGGAAAGGCGUGCGAUACAGGGUGACAGCCCCGUACACAAAAAUGCACAUACUGUGAGCUCGAUGAGUAGGGCGGGACACGUGGUAUCCUGUCUGAAUAUGGGGGGACCAUCCUCCAAGGCUAAAUACUCCUGACUGACCGAUAGUGAACCAGUACCGUGAGGGAAAGGCGAAAAGAACCCCGGCGAGGGGAGUGAAAAAGAACCUGAAACCGUGUACGUACAAGCAGUGGGAGCCUCUUAAUGGGGUGACUGCGUACCUUUUGUAUAAUGGGUCAGCGACUUAUAUUCUGUAGCAAGGUUAACCGAAUAGGGGAGCCGAAGGGAAACCGAGUCUUAACUGGGCGUUAAGUUGCAGGGUAUAGACCCGAAACCCGGUGAUCUAGCCAUGGGCAGGUUGAAGGUUGGGUAACACUAACUGGAGGACCGAACCGACUAAUGUUGAAAAAUUAGCGGAUGACUUGUGGCUGGGGGUGAAAGGCCAAUCAAACCGGGAGAUAGCUGGUUCUCCCCGAAAGCUAUUUAGGUAGCGCCUCGUGAAUUCAUCUCCGGGGGUAGAGCACUGUUUCGGCAAGGGGGUCAUCCCGACUUACCAACCCGAUGCAAACUGCGAAUACCGGAGAAUGUUAUCACGGGAGACACACGGCGGGUGCUAACGUCCGUCGUGAAGAGGGAAACAACCCAGACCGCCAGCUAAGGUCCCAAAGUCAUGGUUAAGUGGGAAACGAUGUGGGAAGGCCCAGACAGCCAGGAUGUUGGCUUAGAAGCAGCCAUCAUUUAAAGAAAGCGUAAUAGCUCACUGGUCGAGUCGGCCUGCGCGGAAGAUGUAACGGGGCUAAACCAUGCACCGAAGCUGCGGCAGCGACACUAUGUGUUGUUGGGUAGGGGAGCGUUCUGUAAGCCUGUGAAGGUGUACUGUGAGGUAUGCUGGAGGUAUCAGAAGUGCGAAUGCUGACAUAAGUAACGAUAAAGCGGGUGAAAAGCCCGCUCGCCGGAAGACCAAGGGUUCCUGUCCAACGUUAAUCGGGGCAGGGUGAGUCGACCCCUAAGGCGAGGCCGAAAGGCGUAGUCGAUGGGAAACAGGUUAAUAUUCCUGUACUUGGUGUUACUGCGAAGGGGGGACGGAGAAGGCUAUGUUGGCCGGGCGACGGUUGUCCCGGUUUAAGCGUGUAGGCUGGUUUUCCAGGCAAAUCCGGAAAAUCAAGGCUGAGGCGUGAUGACGAGGCACUACGGUGCUGAAGCAACAAAUGCCCUGCUUCCAGGAAAAGCCUCUAAGCAUCAGGUAACAUCAAAUCGUACCCCAAACCGACACAGGUGGUCAGGUAGAGAAUACCAAGGCGCUUGAGAGAACUCGGGUGAAGGAACUAGGCAAAAUGGUGCCGUAACUUCGGGAGAAGGCACGCUGAUAUGUAGGUGAAGUCCCUCGCGGAUGGAGCUGAAAUCAGUCGAAGAUACCAGCUGGCUGCAACUGUUUAUUAAAAACACAGCACUGUGCAAACACGAAAGUGGACGUAUACGGUGUGACGCCUGCCCGGUGCCGGAAGGUUAAUUGAUGGGGUUAGCGGUAACGCGAAGCUCUUGAUCGAAGCCCCGGUAAACGGCGGCCGUAACUAUAACGGUCCUAAGGUAGCGAAAUUCCUUGUCGGGUAAGUUCCGACCUGCACGAAUGGCGUAAUGAUGGCCAGGCUGUCUCCACCCGAGACUCAGUGAAAUUGAACUCGCUGUGAAGAUGCAGUGUACCCGCGGCAAGACGGAAAGACCCCGUGAACCUUUACUAUAGCUUGACACUGAACAUUGAGCCUUGAUGUGUAGGAUAGGUGGGAGGCUUUGAAGUGUGGACGCCAGUCUGCAUGGAGCCGGCCUUGAAAUACCACCCUUUAAUGUUUGAUGUUCUAACGUUGGCCCCUGACCGGGGUUGCGGACAGUGUCUGGUGGGUAGUUUGACUGGGGCGGUCUCCUCCUAAAGAGUAACGGAGGAGCACGAAGGUUGGCUAAUCCUGGUCGGACAUCAGGAGGUUAGUGCAAUGGCAUAAGCCAGCUUGACUGCGAGCGUGACGGCGCGAGCAGGUGCGAAAGCAGGUCAUAGUGAUCCGGUGGUUCUGAAUGGAAGGGCCAUCGCUCAACGGAUAAAAGGUACUCCGGGGAUAACAGGCUGAUACCGCCCAAGAGUUCAUAUCGACGGCGGUGUUUGGCACCUCGAUGUCGGCUCAUCACAUCCUGGGGCUGAAGUAGGUCCCAAGGGUAUGGCUGUUCGCCAUUUAAAGUGGUACGCGAGCUGGGUUUAGAACGUCGUGAGACAGUUCGGUCCCUAUCUGCCGUGGGCGCUGGAGAACUGAGGGGGGCUGCUCCUAGUACGAGAGGACCGGAGUGGACGCAUCACUGGUGUUCGGGUUGUCAUGCCAAUGGCACUGCCCGGUAGCUAAAUGCGGAAGAGAUAAGUGCUGAAAGCAUCUAAGCACGAAACUUGCCCCGAGAUGAGUUCUCCCUGACUCCUUGAGAGUCCUGAAGGAACGUUGAAGACGACGACGUUGAUAGGCCGGGUGUGUAAGCGCAGCGAUGCGUUGAGCUAACCGGUACUAAUGAACCGUGAGG
rnacentral:rRNA from 1 species